rnacentral:rRNA from 1 species
AACGAACGCUGGCGGCAUGCCUAACACAUGCAAGUCGAACGAGACCUUCGGGUCUAGUGGCGCACGGGUGCGUAACGCGUGGGAAUCUGCCCUUGGGUUCGGAAUAACUUCGGGAAACUGAAGCUAAUACCGGAUGAUGACGUAAGUCCAAAGAUUUAUCGCCCAAGGAUGAGCCCGCGUAGGAUUAGCUAGUUGGUGAGGUAGAGGCUCACCAAGGCGACGAUCCUUAGCUGGUCUGAGAGGAUGAUCAGCCACACUGGGACUGAGACACGGCCCAGACUCCUACGGGAGGCAGCAGUGGGGAAUAUUGGACAAUGGGCGAAAGCCUGAUCCAGCAAUGCCGCGUGAGUGAUGAAGGCCUUAGGGUUGUAAAGCUCUUUUACCCGGGAUGAUAAUGACAGUACCGGAGAAUAAGCUCCGGCUAACUCCGUGCCAGCAGCCGC